GUGGAUUAGAUACCCUGGUAGUCCACGCCCUAAACGAUGCGAACUAGGUGUUGGGGAAGGAGACUUCUUUAGUACCGUAGCUAACGCGUGAAGUUCGCCGCCUGGGGAGUACGGUCGCAAGAUUAAAACUCAAAGGAAUUGACGGGGACCCGCACAAGCGGUGGAUGAUGUGGAUUAAUUCGAUGCAACGCGAAAAACCUUACCUACCCUUGACAUGCCCGGAACCCUGCUGAGAGGCGGGGGUGCCCGAAAGGGAAUCGGGACACAGGUGCUGCACGGCCGUCGCCAGCU
rnacentral:rRNA from 1 species